GAUGAACGCUGGCGGCGCGCCUAAUACAUGCAAGUCGAGCGAACAGAUGAGGAGCUUGCUCCUCUGACGUUAGCGGCGGACGGGUGAGUAACACGUGGAUAACCUACCUAUAAGACUGGGAUAACUUCGGGAAACCGGAGCUAAUACCGGAUAAUAUAUUGAACCGCAUGGUUCAAUAGUGAAAGACGGUUUUGCUGUCACUUAUAGAUGGAUCCGCGCCGCAUUAGCUAGUUGGUAAGGUAACGGCUUACCAAGGCAACGAUGCGUAGCCGACCGGAGAGGGGGAUCGGCCACACUGGAACUGAGACACGGUCCAGACUCCUACGGGAGGCAGCAGUAGGGAAUCUUCCGCAAUGGGCGAAAGCCUGACGGAGCAACGCCGCGUGAGUGAUGAAGGUCUUCGGAUCGUAAAACUCUGUUAUUAGGGAAGAACAAAUGUGUAAGUAACUAUGCACGUCUUGACGGUACCUAAUCAGAAAGCCACGGCUAACUACGUG
rnacentral:rRNA from 1 species